rnacentral:tRNA from 1 species
GUUGCUGUAUUCCUUCAUAAUCGCUUUAUAUUUCAAUUAUAUUCGCUACUUGAAAAACUGAAUUCUUCCUUGGUAAGGAUGAGGUCACCAGUUCAAAUCUGGUCAGCAGCUCCA